rnacentral:rRNA from 1 species
UACAGAGGGUGCAAGCGUUGUUCGGAAUUAUUGGGCGUAAAGGGCGCGUAGGCGGUGCGGUAAGUCCGCAGUGAAAUCUCUGGGCUCAACUCAGAGUCUGCUGUGGAAACUGCCGUGCUAGAGUGUGGGAGAGGUGAGUGGAAUUCCUGGUGUAGCGGUGAAAUGCGUAGAUAUCAGGAGGAACACCUGUGGCGAAAGCGGCUCACUGGACCACAACUGACGCUGAGGCGCGAAAGCUAGGGGAGCAAACAGG